GAGUUUGAUCAUGGCUCAGGAUGAACGCUAGCGGCAGGCCUAACACAUGCGAGUCGAACGGUAACAGGGAUUGCUUGCAAUCCGCUGACGAGUGGCGCACGGGUGCGUAACGCGUAUGCAAUCUGCCUAUAACUGAGGGAUAGCCCAGAGAAAUUUGGAUUAAUACCUCAUAAUAUUGUUUUAUGGCAUCAUUUUACAAUUAAAACUUUGGUGGUUAUAGAUGAGCAUGCGUCCUAUUAGCUUGUUGGUAAGGUAACGGCUUACCAAGGCAACGAUAGGUAGGGGGCCUGAAAGGGUGAUCCCCCACACUGGUACUGAGACACGGACCAGACUCCUACGGGAGGCAGCAGUGAGGAAUAUUGCGCAAUGGACGAAAGUCUGACGCAGCCAUGCCGCGUGCAGGAAGACGGCCCUAUGGGUUGUAAACUGCUUUUAUAUAGGAAGAAACACCGAUACGUGUAUCGGCUUGACGGUACUAUAUGAAUAAGGACCGGCUAACACCGUGCCAGCAGCCGCGGUAAUACGGAGGGUCCAAGCGUUAUCCGGAUUUAUUAGGUUUAAAGGGUCCGCAGGCGGGAUUUUAAGUCAGUGGUGAAAGCCUACAGCUCAACUGUAGAACUGCCAUUGAUACUGAAAUCCUUGAGUGUGGUUGAAGUAGGCGGAACAUGUCAUGUAGCGGUGAAAUGCAUAGAUAUGACAUAGAACACCAAUUGCGAAGGCAGCUUACUAAACCAUUACUGACGCUGAGGGACGAAAGCGUGGGGAGCGAACAGGAUUAGAUACCCUGGUAGUCCACGCCGUAAACGAUGAUCACUCGUUGCUAGCCAUAUACUGUUAGUGACCAAGCGAAAGUGUUAAGUGAUCCACCUGGGAAGUACGUUCGCAAGGAUGAAACUCAAAGGAAUUGACGGGGGCCCGCACAAGCGGUGGAGCAUGUGGUUUAAUUCGAUGAUACGCGAGGAACCUUACCAGGGCUUAAAUGCAGAAUGACAGUUAGGGAAACCAAUCCUUCUUCGGACAUUUUGCAAGGUGCUGCAUGGUUGUCGUCAGCUCGUGCCGUGAGGUGUCAGGUUAAGUCCUAUAACGAGCGCAACCCCUAUCAUUAGUUGCCAGCGGGUAAUGCCGGGAACUCUAAUGAGACUGCCAGCGCAAGCUGUGAGGAAGGUGGGGAUGACGUCAAAUCAUCACGGCCCUUACGUCCUGGGCUACACACGUGCUACAAUGGUUGGGACAAUGGGCAGCCACUACGCAAGUAGGAGCUAAUCCUCAAACCCAAUCUCAGUUCGGAUCGGAGUCUGCAACUCGACUCCGUAAAGCUGGAAUCGCUAGUAAUCAGAUAUCAGCAAUGAUCUGGUGAAUACGUUCCCGGGCCUUGUACACACCGCCCGUCAAGCCAUGGAAGCUGGGGGUGCCUGAAGUCGGUAACCGUAAGGAACUGCCUAGGGUAAAACUAGUAACUGGGGCUAAGUCGUAACAAGGUAACC
rnacentral:rRNA from 1 species